UACAGAGACUGCAAGCGUUAUUCGGAUUCACUGGGCGUAAAGGGUGCGCAGGCGGCCAAGUGUGUUAGGCGUGAAAGCCCGGGGCUUAACCCCGGAAUUGCACCUAAAACUACAUGGCUAGAGCAUUGGAGAGGGUAGCGGGAUUCACGGUGUAGCAGUGAAAUGCGUAGAUAUCGUGAGGAACACCAGAGGCGAAGGCGGCUACCUGGACAAUUGCUGACGCUCAGGCACGAAAGCGUGGGGAGCAAAAGGG
rnacentral:rRNA from 1 species